CGGCGGCGGCGGCGGCGGCGGCGGGCGGAUCGCUUCAGCCCGGGGCGCCGGGUCUCUGCUUGCAGCGGCCCAGGGUCUUCCCAGUGGGGGAGUGGGGACCCCAAGGCUGGUGGACUCGCACACACCUGGCAGAAGGGAAAGCCUGGAGCGAAUCCACGUCCAAAUCCUAAUGCUACUCUGGUCAUCGUACCUUGAUUAUUAUUUGCAUCCUGCGUUGGAAGUAAUGCCCGAAUCUAGUGUGCUGUGUGCUUCGUGACACAGGGGGGAGAAAUGCAGCUAAGUAAGUUGACUGCAGGCCACACCUGGCAGAGAGGACCGUUGAGGAGGGAGACCCAGAUGCCAGCCCCGGGGCAGGCAACAGGGACAGAGAUGGAACCUGUGCCACAGCAUCAACCUGAGCUGCUGCAGUGACAAUACUGGAUCCUUAAUCGACUCUGCCAUGAGGUCACUCCUGAACUGUCCUUAUUAUUUCCUUUGCGUUCAUUCUCCUAUCCAACCCAACCUAAAAUAGGAUUAUCCUUGUUGCAAAAGGGGUAGUGUAUAUACACCCACAUAUAAAAGUAUGUGCUCUGCCAGUUAGAGAACAAGAAUGCCUAAAGCUACUGAGAAAGAAAGAGGAGCAGCCUCUGCAUUCAGAAGCUGGCUGGGGGCUCCUGGCUGAGCUUGUGACUCUGCCAGUGAUGUAGACAAUCUCCCAGAAUACCUGCUUCGGACGAGGCUGCCCUGAGACUCAUGACAAAAAUCCAGCCGAGCAAGACCACUGCAUGAUGUGGGGAAAACACAGACAAAAGCGAGUCACUGUGCCACCCACAAAAUACCGAAUACCCUCUCUUAGCUGAAAUGAGCAACCACUAAUUCUUUACCAAUUACAGCUUUACCCUCAUCCUAGCUUCUCCUCCCUGUAGAAGAGAUUCAUUGAGACACCCAUCGUGGAAUUGCCCCACUUUCUUUCUUUUUCUUUUUCUUUUUUCGUUUUUUAGGGCCGUACCCGUGGCAUAUGCAAGUUUCCAGGUUGGGGUGAGACUGGAGCUACAGCUGCCUGCCUACACCACAGCCACAGCAGCACCAGAUCCAAGCUGCAUCUGUGACCUACACCACAGCUCACUGCAAUGCCAGAUCCUUAACCCACUGAGCGAGGCCAGGGAUCGAACCCAUGUCCUCAUAGAUACUAGUUGGGUUAGAUCCCACUGAGCCACGACUUUUUUUUUGGUCUUGUGCUACUUUCUAACAGCACGGCACCCAGUCUCGAGUGGAUCUCUGCUUCCUUAGACCCUCCUUAAGUCACCCAGCCACAGCCCAGCCCUCCAAAGCUUCCUCCCAGCGCCCUCUUACUGGACACCCUGAUUUCUCAUGGCCUGUGUUCUCCCGCCUGCAACAAGUGACAAGGCCUCCUUGUUCAACUGCAGGGGUGUUGCCAGUGGUCUUGGGCUGAUCUUGGGCUUGACACUGUGUUUACACAUUUCUGUGUGUGUUUUGUGUGUAUACCAUUGUAAACACUAUAGACAUUUAUAGAAAAUCAAGGUAGUAAGAAAAUCCAGACAAUUCAAGCUCCAAAAUAAACUUCUGCAACUGAUCUACCUGUAUAGAAUACCAUGUUCAAGUGAAAACACUCAGAUAAUUACAUAUUUUGCUUCAUGACAGCCUAAGCAAUCACCACACACCAGAAAAUUUCAAUAAUUUUAUGUCCUAGUUAUUCUCUAGUUAUACUUUGCUUUUGUAUAUAUGCUUUUAAUAUUUUCUACAGUGUAGUUUUGAGAUGUAUUUUUAAAUUUUUUUGUCUUUUUGUCCUUUUAGGGCCACACCCGCAGCAUAUGGAGGUUCCCAGGCUAGGGGUCUAAUCGGAGCUGUAGCCACUGGCCCACGCCAGAGCCACAGCAACGCGGGAUCCGAGCUGUGUCUGUGACCUACACCACAGCUCACGACAGCGCUGGAUCCUUAACCUGAGCAAGGCCAGGGAUCGAACCUGCAACCUCAUGGUUCCAAGUCGGAUUCAUUUCCCCUGCGUCACGACAGGAACUCCGAGAUGUAUUUUUAAAGCUAUGAAUUACUUAACUUUAAUAGGUUGAGAAGAGCCAGAAUGUUGGCUAUUUUUCAUUUAAGUAUUAAAUUAUAAAACAGGAUACAAACAUAUAGAGUAUGAUUACAACUAAGAAGAUAAUAAAAAUUAAAAAUUGGUGACUACCAUCUAACCACAGUUGUCCUUUAAUGAUUUCUUUCUACUUUGAUAUAUUUAAAAAUUUUUUUCAGUUAAUAUUUUUAAUUUGAUAGUAACAACAUUAUUCAUUUCUAGCUUUUUUUUUUUCUAUGUGACUCCUCAUAGGUGCUAAAACAAUAAUAUUCUGGUUCUCUUUUGGUCUAAGUCCUGAUUAGUUUUACCAAUGAUUUCAUAAUUAAGAGCCUUAAACAUACACAUUCACUUAUAACAUGAAAGCAGUACAUCUCUGCUGUUCUUGCCUCCAAGUCCAAUACUGUUCAAAUAGUAAUGACAUUUUAUUAACUCAUUCUGUGGGACUAGCUGAAAACAGGAACAGCAACUGCUAAAUAUGGCUGAUCUGCUGCAAAAGGUUAACCAUGUUUCUAGUAAUGGGAAUUCCACCCAAUGUCUUUGUUCCACAGCAAAAUAAGUAAUGAGUAACUAUUUAAAGAGGAACUGCUGCAUCUUCUACAGAAUAAUACUCCAUUUCUUGUUGACUUUUGCAAUGAUAUUGACCAUGGAACAUUCCUGAAAACUUAGAGUCUUCUUCGUUAGUUUAUUAAUUUGGUGGGCUCAAGGUGGCGGAGGAGUAAGACAUGGUGCCCACCUUCUCCAGCAAACCAUCAAAAGAACCCGUUUAUAUGUAGAACAGUUUGCACAGAACCUCUACUGAAUGCUGGCAGAAGACCUGAGACCUCCAGAAAGGGCAAGAAACCCUCCACAUAUCAGGGUAGAACAAAAGAAGAAAAGAGAGAAGAGGAAAAAAAAGGAAUCAGGAUGGGAGCAGAACUCCGGAGAGGGAGCCAUGAAGGGGAAAGGAACAUGCACAGUGGGAGGCCACCUAACUGACAGGGUAACAGCGGGAUGAAGGGGGAGCCACGAAGCCCUGGAGAAAAGAGCAGCAGCCAGGCUGAGGAGGGCAAAGCAGAGAGAGAGCCUCACAGAUGAUCAGUGCCACUGCCUAGGGCACCACAGCCUUAGACAAGAGCUGGGCACUGAGACGUCAGGUCAGUUCCCUGGAGAGAACUAGGGUUGGCUGUGGGGAGACGGCCUGAGGAAGCUGGGCAACAGGAGCACCACAGCAGAGAGCGUGUGGGAGGAGGCCUGGGCCCCCAGGGGAAGCAAGGCACCAUUGUUGGGGGGGCGAGAGGGGGGAGAGGAGGAGGGGCAGGAACACCUUUCUCUGUGCACUCACAGGUGUGGGUGCCUCUUGCACAGGCUAGGGCAGCAGGUGGAAACCGCUGCAGCCAUCUUGGACUCCAGAGGUAGACAUGGCCUGCCGCCAUUAAGGGAACCGUGAACAGGCACAGGCAGCAGCCCCAGUCACCUCAGUGGUCGCCACAAAGGAGGGCACUGCAACCGAGCUCCACCUGUUGCCUUCAGUCCCCUGGGAAUGCACACACCCUACCAUGGCCACUGCCAAAGGCUCUGGAAUACUGCCGAAAUACAAAAAAAUAUAAGCGAAUACUGUGAAAAAUGAUACGCCAAUGAAUCCGAAAACCUAGAAAAAAUGGACAACUUUCUAGAGACAUACAGCCAACCAAAACUGAAUCAAGAAGAAACGUAAUUUGAACGGACUGAUCACCAGCCAAAAAACUGAAUAUGCAAAAAAAUCACUACUCCCUACAAACGAAAGUCCAGGAACAGAUGGCUUCAGAGGCGAAUUCUACCAAACACACACAGAGGAACUUAUACCCAUUCUUCUUAAAAUUUUCCAAAAGAUUGAAGAACAAGGAACACUCCCAAAGACAUUCUAUGAAGCCAUCAUCAUCCUAAUACCAAAACUAAACAAAGAUACUUGCAAAAAAGAAAAUUAUAGGUCAAUAUCUUAGAUGAAUAUAGAUGCAAAAAUUCUCAACAAAAUUUUAGCCAACCAAACCCAACAAGGCAUCAAAAAGAUCAUAUACCACGACCAAGUGGGAUUCAUCCCAAGUUCACAAAGAUGGCUCAACAUAUGCAAACCAAUCAAUGUAAUACACCGAAUUAACAAAAGUCAAAAACCACAUGAUCAUCUCAAUAGAUGCAGAAAAAAGCAUUUGACAAAAUCCAACAUCCAUUCAUGAUAAAAACUCUUACCAAAGUGGGUAUAGAGAGAACAUACCUUAACAUAAUAAAAGCCAUUUACAACAAACCCACAGCCAAUAUAAUACUCAAAGGAGAAAAGGUGAAAGUCUUCCUGCUAAAAUCUGGAACAAGACAAGGAUGCCCACUCUCACCACUUUUAUUCAACAUGGUAUUGGAAGUCCUAGCCACAGCAAUCAGACAAAUGAAAGAAAUAAAAGGCAUCCAAAUUAGAAGAGAAAAGGUAAAAUUGUCACUAAAUGCAAAUGACACAGCACUAUAUAUAGAAAACCCUAAGGAUGCCACACAAAAACUACUUGACCUAAUUCAGCAAAGUAGCAGGAUACAAAUUAACAUUCAGAAAUUGUUUGCAUUUCUGUAUAUUAACAAUGGAAUAUUAGAAAAGGAAUAUAAAAAAACAAUACCUUUAAAAUCUCACCCCAAAAAUUAAUUAGGAAAAAACCUGACCAAGGAGGUGAAAGAUUUAUAUGCUGAGAACUAUAAAACAUUAAUCCAGGAAAUUAAAGAGGAUUCAAAGAAAUGGAAUGGUAUCUCAUGCUUCUGGUUUGGAAGAAUUAGUAUCAUUAAAAUAGCCAUACUACCCAAAGCAAUAUACGGAUUUAAUGUGAUUCCUAUCAAAUGAUCCAUGGCAUUUUUCACAGAACUAGAACAAAUAAUCCAAAAAUUUAUAUGGAACCAUAAAAGACCCAGAAUUGCCAAAGCAAUCCCAAGGGAAAAAAAAAACCAAGCAGGAGGCAUAACUCUCCCACACUUCAGACAAUAUGACAAAGCUAUAGUAAUCAAUACAGUGUGGUACUGGUAUAAAAACAGACAUACAGACCAAUGGAACAGAAUGGAGAACCCGGAAAUAAACCCAGACAUCUACAGCCAAUUAAUCUUUGACAA